rnacentral:rRNA from 1 species
GACGAACGCUGGCGGUGUGCUUAACACAUGCAAGUCGAACGGCAAGGCCCUGCUUUUGUGGGGUGCUCGAGUGGCGAACGGGUGCGUAACACGUGAGUAACCUGCCCUUGACUUUGGGAUAACUUCAGGAAACUGGGGCUACUACCGGAUAGGAGCUCCUGCUGCAUGGUGGGGGUUGGAACGUUUCGGCGGUUGGGGAUGGACUGGCGGCUUAUCAGCUUGUUGGUGGGGUAGUGGCUUACCAAGGCUUUGACGGGUAGCCGGCCUGUGGGGGUGACCGGCCACAUAGGGACUGAGGUGCGGCCCAGACUCCUACGGGAGGCAGCAGGGGGGAAGAUUGCACAAUGGGCGGAAGCCGGAUGCAGCAACGCCGCGUGCGGGAUAACGGCCUUCGGGUUGUAAACCGCUUGCGCCUGUGACGAAGCAUGAGUUACGGGAAUGGGUAGAGAAGCACCGGCUAACUACGUG